ACAGCCCAUCCUGCUUCCCCACUACUGGGAGACAUCCUCUCCAGCCCCAACUGUGCCAUGACUAUCAGGCUCCUCUGCCACAUGGCCUUUUAUUUUCUGGGAGCAGGCAUUAUGGAAGCUGAUAUCUACCAGAACCCAAGACACCGUGUUAUAGGGACAGGAAAGAAGAUCACUCUGGAAUGUUCUCAAAGCAUGGGCCAUGACAAAAUGUACUGGUAUCAACAAGAUCCAGGAAUGGAAUUACACCUCAUCCACUAUUCCUAUGGGGUUAAUUCCACAGAGAGGGGAGAUUUUUCCUCUGAGUCAACAGUCUCCAGAAUAAGGAUAGAGCAUUUUCCCCUGACCCUGGAGUCUGCCAGCCCCUCACACACCUCUCAGUACCUCUGUGCCAGCAGUGAAUACACAGUGCUACAUGGAUACCGACACUCUGCACAGAAAGGGCCGCCUCUAAGGUGAGGACAUCUUGCCUUCAGAAACCUCAUCUUAAACUACAGAAACCCCUGCAAA